rnacentral:lncRNA from 1 species
ACACAGAGAUACCCUGUCUCGAAGGAAAAACAAAAAAACAAAAAACAAAAACAAAACAAAACAAAACAAAAUCAAAACAUGUGUCAUGUGUACCUUGUAAGAGCAAAAAGGAUAAGAUGUAAAGAAGUGGGAGGGUUGGGGCAGUGACCUACUGCAUGGAGACUUAGCCAUUUGGUCUUUAUUCUUCUGUCUUUGUGACUCCUUUGCUCGGUGGAGAAGUCUCGGGCUCACGUUGUUGUACCCUUUUAUAAUAUUACUACUGUCGAGUUAUUUCAAGAAUACCUUGAGUCAAGUAUUAAUGACAUCAGUGAGAAGAGAAGCCCAGUGUUUGGUAGCUAACCAUCGUCCCUCCCACCUAAAGAGUUGGGGGGAGCAGGGUAGUUUUGAUGGCUGGUGAUGCUGAGGUAAACUGGCACACGGGAUUUUUAUAAGUGACUUUCCCAUGCGCCACUGAAUCUGUGUCUUAGGCUUUAGUUGUAUACCAGCUGUGCAUGCAAAAUCUCAUAAUUAUUCUUACUGUAUUAAGCAUUUUAUAGCAAUUUUAGCUCUAAAAUGCUAUGCAAUAGUUUUUAUGCAAGUGUACCAGACAUGUAAGCUGUUCCAAUGAAAACAUUUCCUUUCUUUUAGACACAUGGUUUUAGGUUUCCAAACUUAGCUUUUUGCAUUGAUGGAAGAAUCUUUAAGACAGACACCAGGUUUUUUCUUUUUCUUGUCUUUUGGGGGGCUGCAGUGGGAUGCAGGCGGUGGGGGAGGGGGCAGUUGGAUUGUCUUACACAUAUUUUACUCUUUUAAACAGCCUCAUCGGAAAAGGAGCAUUUCGCUGAUUAGAUAAUGCUGGUGUUACAGUGUUGCUGCAGAAUGCUAGCUCGUCCCCAGUCUGCCCCAUCUAUGGAGGAAGGAACCAGAGAGGAAGCUAGAAUGAUCUCUGCAUCCUUCCAGGAUACAGUGGCAAACAGGCAGGAAGGGCUUGGGCUUAACCUCUCUGCAGAAGGCUGAGCCCUUUAACACUGCUGAGCAUGCCACUGAGCCCUGCAGUGGCAAGUGUUGGGCCUGAGCCCAAAGCUGGGAUGGAGUUUGAACCCUUGGCAUUCUGGCCCAGGGCCAAGUACUAUCAAUGGAACCCCACUGACACCUUUAGUUAUUCUUCCUAGAUUAGGAUAGUAAUUUACUUGUCUCUUUGAUUUUAAGUGUCUGGUUUUGUUUCCAGAUGCCUCCCAGCUCAUCUGUAUUCCAGGGGUUUCAAAAGACUUUAACCUCAUUGGUUCUUUCCUUUGUCAAUUCCAUUUGGUGAACACAGGAGGGAUAUAGAAACUAGAGAGGACAAGGGAGGGCUGUGUGUGUGUGUGUGUGUGUGUGUGUGUGUGUGUGAGAGAGAGAGAGAGAGAGAGAGAGAGAGAGAGAGAGAGAGAGAGGUAAAGCAUAUGGGGAGGGCUUGGUGAGGCUGCAGAAAUAAAUGAAAGGCAUUCACUUUCAGCAUAUCAGCUAUUAUACCAGAGCAAGUCAGGGUGGAAUUUAAGAGGUGAUGUGUAGGACAGUGUAGUGAAAAUGCUAUUCGAUGGGUUCAUGUGGAAAAGCCCUCUAACCAGCAGUAAUCUCUGGCUCUCUGAAAUGAUUGCAGUAUAUGAAAGAGAUGGAGAAACCAUAGAAAUUGUAUCCUAAUGCCAAUAGGGUAACAGCUCUUGGAUUUUAACAUGCAAUAGAGAAAAGGCAUCUAUGCAUGGGUGUCAUCCAUGUUUACAAGGGCCUGGCUAGCACUGUUUAUUGAUUUUAUUGCAAUUUUCCCCAGGACCCUGUAGAUAGAUAAUUACUGGAAAUGUCCAUCAUUAGCACAACAACAAAUACAACCACUGUUCUAAGAAAAAGAUUCACAUAGGUCCCUGCGAGCAACUAUCAAUUGGCGAGGAGGAGAGUCACACAAUAAACAUGUACAGCUAUAACUCCAGGCAAACACACACACUCAACACCCUCUGUAGCCAUUGCACUGAGAAAAUACACACAGCCCCCUGUGCAGCCAUCACACAUCAGGAAAACACACACACGACACCCCUAUGCAACCAUCACACCAGGCAAGAGCAGAGACAUAAAAUGCUAAGUCAAUAGGAAUGAACAGCUCAUAAAAGCCUACUGGAAUAGAUCACAUCACAGCCAGGUACAUCUGUUCUCAGCACUAACCAUUAUCGUUAGCUUAAAAUGCUUAAAAUCACUGCGCAUCCUCAGGUCUAGGGACAGAUUAUUCCAAAAAGAUUCUGCUAAAUAGAUUUGGCAAUGCAGUGAAGGGGACCUCCACUACAUUAAAGUGAUGCAUUUUGCAUCUCAAAGGCUGUCAACUGUAUUUAGAGGGAUUGUGUGAUUGAAGAACAAUGCUCCAGGACAGGAUAGCAAUUUUUUCUGGCCCUUCUAAAUCUGAAGGUGAUUUUUACCCCAAGUUGAGCUAAGUGUGCAAUUGAAUUGGGUAGCUCUCCAACUGGGAGGUGGCUAAUAAAAGCAGAAUUGAAACUAGCUUUCAAGUUGUGCUGCAAAGGAAGCCACUGCAUCCUGUUUUAAGCUGGAACUCUCAGGUGGGAUGUCCUCUGAAAGGUCUUCCUGAGGUCAGACUUCAAGCCACCAACAAGAGCUAAAUAAGUAGUAACUACUGUCCUUGCUCCACACGCCUGCAUGCCCCUUAGGGGGAAUAAAGGAACCACCUCCUACUUCUUUUACCAAUGCCUUCUCUUUAUCCUCUUGCUGUGGUCUGUGAUGUUAUCCAAACCCUGUGACACAGGGUCAACACAGCAAGGGAGACUUGGGGUGUCCUGAAGACUGGCCCAAAAGAACUAGGGUUUGAGGUUUGUAGUUCUUUCUGUAUUUCAAUCACGGUGGCGCUUCAUCUUUCUUCUGAGCGAGUUUCUACUGAGAAGUUUCAGACUAGCUUGUUAAGAAUGAUUUACACCAUAAUUCUAGGAAAAACAAAUGUGAGUGACUGAGAUUUGAAAGGAAAGAGUAGGGGGGAGUGCCAGACCAAACAAAUCCUAAGUAAAUAGGGUGGCUUUGCAAGGGUGGUAAUGGGAUUUUUGCUUGUUUCCUUACUUAAAAAAAAAAAUGACAAUGGAUUAUUAGCAAUCAUUUCUCUUACCUGGGUAGAGCCAAGCAAAGGACAGGAAUGGUUCUAUUGGCUCCACACAAGAGCAUGAUUUUCAGGAAGGACAGGUGUUUCCCGAAUUCACAUGACAACAUCUUAAUGAGAAUGAACAGAACUGAAAAGGAGAACUAAGAUUUCUACUUUUAUUUUUUUCCGAAUGUGGCAGAAAGUGUUUUGUUAGGGUGAGAGAUAAGCAUUUUCUAUAAAACAAUGCCCCAGUGACAUGAGGUAAUUACAUGGUGGCUGGGGCACACCGCAUGGUUUACUUAGAGAAAUUGCAUGAUACCUACGUGAUGACUAUAGUAACACUAGUUACCACUACCACAUUAUCUCCUGAUAACUAUAUAAUUAGUUUGUAUCAUCAAAGCACCCUAAACGUGUGCCUAUUCCAGCUACUCUGGUAGAAAAAAAAAAAAUAAACUUUUUUGC